rnacentral:rRNA from 1 species
UACGGAGGGUGCAAGCGUUAUCCGGAUUUACUGGGUUUAAAGGGUGUGUAGGCGGACUAUUAAGUCAGUGGUGAAAUCCCGAGGCUCAACCUCGGAACUGCCUUUGAUACUAUUAGUCUUGAAUGUUGUUGAGGUGGGCGGAACGGGUCAUGUAGCGGUGAAAUGUAUAGAUAUGACCCGGAACACCGAUUGCGAAGGCAGCCCGCUAAGCAACUAUUGACGCUGAGGCACGAAAGCGUGGGGAUCAAACAGG